rnacentral:rRNA from 1 species
CGCCUCCAGAAUUUUUUAUUGGAGGUCCAUUCUGCCCUAUGCCCUACGGGGUAAAUGGCCGCGGUAGCCUGACCGUGCUAAGGUAGCAUAAUCAUUUGCCGUUUAAUUGGUGGCUGGAAUGAAUGAAUAUACGAGAGCUCUACUGUCUCAUCUCUACAAAUAAAAAUUGACCUUCAGGUGAAGAGACCUGAAUUCCUUAAAAAGACGAAAAGACCCUAUAGAGCUUUACCUAAAUUUUGUAUUCUUCAAGACAAAGGUUUAGUUGGGGCAACUAGAGAGAACCUAAAACCUCUCUUUCUAAAAAAUAAUAUUGAUCCGUUUUACGAUAAUCAGAAAAAGCUACCUUAGGGAUAACAGGCUAAUCCUCUUUAAGAGACCAUAUUGACAAGAGGGUUUGGCACCUCGAUGUUGGCUCAAGGUUACAGUCUGAUGCAGCAGUCAGACAAAGUAGGUUUGUUCACCCUUUAAAUCCUU